CCUCCUUCCUGCUCAGCCCAAAGGCAGGAGUCAUGGAACCCCAGGAAAGGACGGAACAGAACAGGACAGGGCCCCCAGCCCCAUCUUUAUCUCACCGGCUGCUGCUGGCUGCCAAGCCUCCCCUGAAUGGGGGAGGGUGGUCUGUGUGAGUCAGCGGAGGCACGAAGUGGAGGAAGACGGGAGCCUCUGCCAGGCCCGUUGAGCGUGGCCUCAGAAAUGCGCCGCUGGGUUAGGGUCUCCCCGACCGAGGCUCGAAUCCAGGUCGAAGGGUCGCCGGAGCGAUGGUUGGAGAAUGUGGAAGGAGCUGGAGGACACCCGAGUAUUCUUAAAGCAAUCCCCAUGGCCAGAUGUCAUCAGCAGCUGAACAGCAUUCCAGAAACCAGCUGCAAAGACAGAAGCAGAACAACUGGUUUGGUGGAGAGAUCUGAUAACAAAAAGUUGGGAAACAGGUAAAAUAAUAACUUGGGGUAGAAGUUAUGCUUGUGUUUCUCCAGGCCAAAAUCAACAGCUGAUCUGGAUACCAUCAAGACACCUGAAAUCUUAUCAUGAGCCAGAUGCUGAGGAAGAGACUCCGGGAGGAUCCCGAGGACGGCCCAGUUGCAGCCAUGUUGAGACUGACGCUGAGGAGGACCCCAACUGUCACGAGCAACACCUGUCGAACACAGCCACCCACCUGGGGACAGAUCAAGAAGCUGUCAC
rnacentral:lncRNA from 1 species